AAGUCGUAACAAGGUUUCCGUAGGUGAACCUGCGGAAGGAUCAUUAUCAAUUACUUGUGACUGCUUCUUUUUUGAGAAGUGGUUGUAUGUUUUUGUGCACUGUUUCUUUUUGGUUAUUUUUUCUUUCUGAGAAAAAGUAGCCAAGAUGAAUUUGAUUUUCUAUUAUUAUUUUUCUUAUUUACUUGUAACUUUUGUUAUAAAUAAUUAAAAAAAAGACAACUUUCAGCAAUGGAUCUCUUGGCUCUU
rnacentral:misc_RNA from 1 species